CAGGCGGGCACUUCACGCGUUAGCUGCGGUACUGAAGGGGUUUAACUACCCCCNACACCCUAGUUGACAUCGUUUAGGGCGUGGACUACCAGGGUAUCUAAUCCUGUUUGCUCCCCACGCUUUCGUGCCUGAGCGUCAGUAUUGGCCCAGGGGGCUGCCUUCGCCAUCGGUGUUCCUCCAGAUAUCUACGCAUUUCACUGCUACACGAGGAAUUCCACCCCCCUCUGCCACACUCAAGUCUGGCAGUCUCAAAUGCACUUCCCAGGUUGAGCCCGGGGAUUUCACAUCUGACUUAAAAAACCGCCUGCGCACGCUUUACGCCCAGUAAUUCCGAAUAACGCUCGCACCCUACGUAUUACCGCGGCUGCUGGCACGUAGUUAGCCGGUGCUUCUUNUUCGGGUACCGUCAUU
rnacentral:rRNA from 1 species